UACGGGGGGGGCAAGCGUUGUUCGGAAUUACUGGGCGUAAAGGGCCAGUAGGCGGCCGGCUAAGUCCGACGUGAAAUCCCCAGGCUUAACCUGGGAACUGCGUCGGAUACUGGCUGGCUUGAAUUCGGGAGAGGGAUGCAGAAUUCCAGGUGUAGCGGUGAAAUGCGUAGAUAUCUGGAGGAAUACCGGUGGCGAAGGCGGCAUCCUGGACCGAGAUUGACACUGAUGAGCGAAAGCCAGGGGAGCAAACGGG
rnacentral:rRNA from 1 species